rnacentral:rRNA from 1 species
AUUGAACGCUGGCGGCAGGCCUAACACAUGCAAGUCGAGCGGAUGAGUGGAGCUUGCUCCAUGAUUCAGCGGCGGACGGGUGAGUAAUGCCUAGGAAUCUGCCUGGUAGUGGGGGACAACGUUUCGAAAGGAACGCUAAUACCGCAUACGUCCUACGGGAGAAAGCAGGGGACCUUCGGGCCUUGCGCUAUCAGAUGAGCCUAGGUCGGAUUAGCUAGUAGGUGAGGUAAUGGCUCACCUAGGCGACGAUCCGUAACUGGUCUGAGAGGAUGAUCAGUCACACUGGAACUGAGACACGGUCCAGACUCCUGCGGGAGGCAGCAGUGGGGAAUAUUGGACAAUGGGCGAAAGCCUGAUCCAGCCAUGCCGCGUGUGUGAAGAAGGUCUUCGGA